UUAAAAAAAAAAAUAAUCAAACAAAAAAAAAAAUAAUCAAACAAAAAUAAACUAAAUUACACUAAAAAUGAUUCUCAAAAUAAGAUACAGGAUCCGCUGAUCCUUGUUUCUGUACAGGCCUGUUCCACAGAUGGAUGAAAGGAGAUGAAGAUACCUCCAGGCACCCACACCCACACCACCACACCACCACACCGCAAGCACACAUUCGCAAUCGAACUCGAACUCGAACUCGUCAACGCUUUUGCACAACUAUACUAUUGCAGGAUGGAACCGGCCGAAAGCACAGUGGAUGGCAUCCUGGACAAGAGCUUCAUUGGGCAGAUAAACCAAGAAGCAAACUAUAUGCAGCCUCUACCUUGAUUGAAGGCUCUGCUGUCGAUGGCAUCGGCACUCGACACUGUGGGCUCUGGUCUCGGCUCUGAAUAUCGUGGAUCACAUUAAGAAACAGAACAACAAAUCACGGAUUAUUGCCAGCACAGAACACCAAUCGACACAUUUUAUCGACUUUGUUUAUAGCAAAUGGGGGAUCAUUAAAAAUUUGAUUUAAUUAACCA
rnacentral:misc_RNA from 1 species